AUUGAACGCUGGCGGCAGGCUUAACACAUGCAAGUCGAGCGGAGAUGAGGUGCUUGCACCUUAUCUUAGCGGCGGACGGGUGAGUAAUGCUUAGGAAUCUGCCUAUUAGUGGGGGACAACAUUCCGAAAGGAAUGCUAAUACCGCAUACGUCCUACGGGAGAAAAGCAGGGGAUCUUCGGACCUUGCGCUAAUAGAUGAGCCUAAGUCGGAUUAGCUAGUUGGUGGGGUAAAGGCCUACCAAGGCGACGAUCUGUAGCGGGUCUGAGAGGAUGAUCCGCCACACUGGGACUGAGACACGGCCCAGACUCCUACGGGAGGCAGCAGUGGGGAAUAUUGGACAAUGGGGGGAACCCUGAUCCAGCCAUGCCGCGUGUGUGAAGAAGGCCUUAUGGUUGUAAAGCACUUUAAGCGAGGAGGAGGCUACUGAGACUAAUACUCUUGGAUGGUGGACGUUACUCGCAGAAUAAGCACCGGCUAACUCUGUG
rnacentral:rRNA from 1 species